rnacentral:misc_RNA from 1 species
ACCUCAGGUGGGGCAAGAG